ensembl:misc_RNA
UGGUUGCCCUUCCUGUGAUGAAGGCAGAUGUGUCCCUGGAGAGGCCACUGAGUCUAGAGCUGCUUUUGGGGAGCUGCCAAUGGCACAGCCCUCCCUACUCAGGGAAGCUGAGGGCACCACCACAGUGAGGCAGCCAGGAGCCAGGGCUUCCAUGACACCGGCCUAGCUUUGUACCUGUAGGGGGGCAGAAUCUGGUAAAAGUGUUCCAGAGUUUUUCUUGGGUGUUUGCUUGGCAUAUUCUUCUCAAUAUCUUGAUUACUUGGGGCAAUUUUAAUGUUUUUAACCUCAUUUGAUCAUAUUUUAUG